rnacentral:pre_miRNA from 1 species
UCUUAUGGAGGAACAAAGAAAGUGGUUUCCUGAGAUGCAGUCUACUACUGGUGAAGAUGCUGUGAA